rnacentral:lncRNA from 1 species
CCCUGAUGCACCGUAUCACAUUUGCACAUGGAUUUAUCAUUGAACAACAAACGAAUGCAAGAAAAAAUCCAACCUAAAAUCAUCCGGCCUAAGAGAGCAACCUAUUAGCUCUGGAUUAUGAAAGAUGAACAAUUCACCCUCUUUAAAAGAGGUGUUAUAUGUUGAAUAGCAUGUUCCAUAAGAACGAGCAAACUCAUUUCUCUGCACAUAUGUAUGUAUCACAGUGUCUACAUAACAAGAUUAAUUUCAGCAGAAAGCAGUAAUUGGCAAAAUCAUUGAACAUCACAAUUCAUUAUUCUCCAUUCAGAUCUCUCUGUCAUACCAAUUCUAACAUCUAUUGACAGAGUAGAGAGGAGAUCAUCCAGGCCCUUUGCACAAUUGCACUCUUUUGCCUUUACUUCAAAUCUGUGAAUACACCAUUAUGUAUGUACUCCAGCAUGAGUUUCUUCCACAAGUUGAUCUAAUAAGAUAAGCUGUCAAUAGGAGAGAAUAUCUCUUGCUCAGCAUCAAUUUUUAAAGAAAUCGAGAGGCUGGAUGCCACACACACCAAAACAUGAAGUUCAAUGUUGAAAGCUGCAGAUAACUCUCCUGCAGUUUCAUCCAGUCAAUUAUCUCUACCCCUUCCCUCCCCAAGGAGGUUUUAAGGAAAGUUUUGCAACUUUUUCUUACAAAAAUUCUCUCUAGAUCGAAGAUUAGUUUGAUUCCACCCAUUUAUGAGACCAGUUCUGUCAGAAGUGGCUGAGUUCCAAAACUAUAGAUGCACCCUUCAAGCCAGCAACUACUAGUAGCAACAUGAAAAAAAGCAAAUUCAUAUCCUUUUUUCUCCAUUAGUUUAUAUUUCAAUUUGAAUCAUCUCACACUAUCUUAACUCGAGCACAAGACUAGAUAGAUCAGUUCAUAAAGUCAUAUCAACCAACGAAAACAGAUAUACAUCACACCACAAUAUUUGCUGCAGGAUAAUUAGAGCAACAAGUAUCUCUUACACCCCAAAUUUGGGCAACGGAGAUGCUGAUGUCUAUAAAGUUAAGAUCUUUAUUGAUGAUCAGUAGCUGAAAUAACUAAGCACAUUUUGGAUCUUCAGUUUUUCUGGACUAAAAUAUGUGCAAACCAUAACAGUCCCAAACCCGGAUUAAACAGGAGAGUUUUGCCCUAAGUCGACAGUUACUGUCAUUAAAAAUAGUCAAACUACGAUUCAUAUAGCUGACCCCAACUGAAUUAGGAUUGAUCCAUAGUGAAGCUAAGUUGUGUUUUGACAUCAAAUAACCAAAGUGAGUUUAGAUAAAGCACCUAUUAAUCACAGUGUCCUUCAUGUAACAGCAAUAGUAAUUCAGCAUUUAUUCUCAACUCCUAGAACUCCUAAUUCUAGAAUGCCAUAUGAUAAUACAUCUGUAUGCAAAUCGCAAAGCCAGACAAAGCAAUUGAAACUCAAUUUUGCCCAGACGUCAAUACAUUCAGAUUCAUCAUAAGAAAAACAUAAUCUAUCUUCUUAUCAGAGCAUUGCAAAUAGAAACAAGACUAGAUUUUUGAAGGGUACAGAAAAUAAAAAAAGCUUAGAAAUCAAAUGAGUUUGAAAGGAAGAGGCCAAGGUGUAGACCUGGGGACCUCAACUUUAUCCUUGAUGCGUUCAAUUUUCUUCUCCUUUUUAGGUCUUGAAUUUCCAUAUGAAUCUUUGAAUCUCUUCCCUUUCUUCGUCCUCUUGUCCCCUCGUCCGCAAAGGAUCGGACCUCCCAUCGCCG